rnacentral:lncRNA from 1 species
GAGACCCUGUGACUGAGAACCCACAUCCUCUAGCCCCCUUGUCUUCGCUCCGCCUGUGUCUAAGGUCACUGGGCCUCUGAGCUCAGCACCUUCUUCCGGCAGUUCCUCUCCAGGGGGGCCCCACCCAGCUGUGGGGCCAGACCAGGUUCCUCCUCCUCUGCCCUGCCCUCCAGCCUCUCAGUCGCCAGCCAGGUCCCUUCCUCUCUGUCCUCAGCCCAGCUCAGGAGGCCUCUCCCGUGGGCCCUCGCCCUGGUGUCCUCAGCCUGCCACCCUCCAGCGACCUCACCACCAGGCUCCAGAGCCCUUCCUGCUCCUCUGGUCCUCCCAUCCCUCCUCCCCCCACUCCCAUUCUCCAGCUCGGUAAAGGUAUGGCCUCCUGAGGUCCCACGUGUGACACGCCAGGCUGUGGUCCCCGGGCCGAGGAGGCUUGCUCUGCAGCCGGCCGUGCUGUUCUUCCCUUACCCACACGCCUGCUUGGGCCUCACAGGCCGCUGCCUCUGUCCCGCACAGAUCAUCCUGGGCUGCGACAGAUGUACCACCUAUCACCCUCGUUUCCCGUGAGCUCCCUUUUCCUUUCCCGUGAGCUCCCUUCUUUUCCUUUCCCGUGAGCUCCUGCAGGUCAGGCCCAGGACCAACUCAUCCCUAACCCACAGACCCCACAGGGCACCCCAGAAAAAGAUGUCAAGUGAGUGCAGAGAGCCCCACUGACUCAGAUGCCGAAGUGUGUCCCGAAGGAGGUUUAUUACCCCCUCAAGACCACUCUUCCCCACACCCCCCAAUAAUUACAAAAGUAAGAAAAAUGCCCACGUCCCCCAAUC